GUUUAACAGUUGACAUAACAUAAUGUAUUAAAACAAAAAUUGCAUUUAUAUCUUUUAAACAUCUGCAAGUCACGUUACUUCCGUUGGCGUCUCUCAGUCUUCGUGACUGUUAGCUCUGGUUAAAUGUUAUAAAGCUCCACUUCAAGCUACUCAUCAUAGAACAUUAAAAAUGUCUGCGUUCAGAGUACCCAGGCCUCAAGGCGUUCCUGUUCUCAAUGAGCCUUUACAACACAUUGCAAAGUAAAAAAAAAAAUGGCAAAAAGAGCGUUUAAAAUCUACAGAUUUCGGCUUUAUGGCGUGCUGUUUGCUUUGGCCAUUCGAGGGCGCUGCUUGCUUUAGAAGUUUCAACUGUUAGCUUAAUUGUUUCACUCGGUACUUGCUCACGGAAGUUUUAUUAAGAGAAAACUGGACCAGAGAGAACGAACGCCCGUCGCAAGAGCAGCAUCAUCAUUCGUCAUCAUGUCACUGAUUACGAAUAAUAGUUCUGACGGGAACGAGGGCGCCGCCGCCUAGCGUCUGGAGGAAGAACAAAUCUCAGUUUCCUUUGAAGACCUUAACUUUAAAGGGGUCAAAAAGAAGAAAUGCGCCCAUACAAGUGGAGACCAAAAAAAGUACAUAGAAGAUUCCCUCAGAUGGGUAACAACAACAUCAAGCCACAGCCCCCUAGUCAGGAAGAGGACUGGGAAAAGGAGUUAGAAGAGAUUUCACAACGCAUUGAAAAGCAGAAACAGCCUCCUUAUGAUCCUGGAGAUGAUUUGAGUACUGGAGUAAGGGAAGGGUUUCAUUGUAACAUCCAGAAUGGCCCAAGCUCAAGCCAGGAACACUACAGCCCAGCAAUUCACCACAUUAAACCUGUGAAAUGGGUCCGCUUUAUUUAUGCUGUAGUGGAUGACCAGUUUGCUGAUGCUGAAGAAUAAGGCUGUUGGUUCCUAGUAUAUGUGCUUCCUUACAGGAAAAACAAAUUAUAUAUAAAAUUUGUUUAUAAUCUAUUGAGCUCAGGCUAAUGUUUUAAGUACUUUUGUUGUUUUUAGUGACCUCUCAGUAUCUGAUGUUCAUUUAUAGUUAUGUUGAUCAAAUCAUUGCUGAGCAUUCUUAUUUGCAAGUUUAUUUCAUUCAUUCAUUUUUGCCAGUUGAAGCCAGUUUGUUUUAAUCUCUAAGCACAAUUUUGAAUUUGAUUACAGUUUAUCUAUUAAAUACUGCAUUACAAUGUUAAUCUGAAUUAAAACAGAGUGACAGGAAGGAAUGUUGUUCUUGUGUAGACUUAAGGCACAUUAAAGAAUUACUGGGAUUGAACUGAAAAUGAGCAUUCGUUUGUGCAACGUGUGUCAUUUCACAAGUGUUUCCAUU